rnacentral:tRNA from 2 species
GGUUGUAUGGCGCAGUAGUAGCGCAUUUGUUUUUGUAACGGGAGGUUUUGGGUUCGAUUCCCGGUACGACUU